rnacentral:rRNA from 1 species
GGAUUAGAUACCCGGGUAGUCCACGCCGUAAACUAUGGAUGCUAGCUGUUAGAGGUAUCGACCCCUCUAGUAGCGAAGCUAACGCGUUAAGCAUCCCGCCUGUGGAGUACGGUCGCAAGACUAAAACAUAAAGGAAUUGACGGGGACCCGCACAAGCGGUGGAGCGUGUUGUUUAAUUCGAUGGUAAACGAAGAACCUUACCCAGGUUUGACAUCCUGCGAACCCUGGCGAAAGUCGGGGGUGCUUUAUUGAGCGCAGUGACAGGUGUUGCAUGGCCGUCGUCAGCUCGUGUCGUGAGAUGUUUGGUUAAGUCCAUCAACGAGCGCAACCCUUAUGGUCUGUUGUAUUUUUCAGGCCAGACUGCCCUGGUAACAGGGAGGAAGGAGGGGAUGAU